rnacentral:rRNA from 1 species
AUUGAACGCUGGCGGCAGGCCUAACACAUGCAAGUCGAGCGGAUGAAGGGAGCUUGCUCCUGGAUUCAGCGGCGGACGGGUGAGUAAUGCCUAGGAAUCUGCCUGGUAGUGGGGGAUAACGUCCGGAAACGGGCGCUAAUACCGCAUACGUCCUGAGGGAGAAAGUGGGGGAUCUUCGGACCUCACGCUAUCAGAUGAGCCUAGGUCGGAUUAGCUAGUUGGCGGGGUAAAGGCCUACCAAGGCGACGAUCCGUAACUGGUCUGAGAGGAUGAUCAGUCACACUGGAACUGAGACACGGUCCAGACUCCUACGGGAGGCAGCAGUGGGGAAUAUUGGACAAUGGGCGAAAGCCUGAUCCAGCCAUGCCGCGUGUGUGAAGAAGGUCUUCGGAUUGUAAAGCACUUUAAGUUGGGAGGAAGGGCGGUAAGUUAAUACCUUGCUGUUUUGACGUUACCAACAGAAUAAGCACCGGCUAACUUCGUG